rnacentral:rRNA from 1 species
UACAGAGGGGGCAAGCGUUAUUCGGAAUUAUUGGGCGUAAAGGGCGCGUAGGCGGCGAUUCAAGUGACGGGUGAAAUCCCUCAGCUUAACUGGGGAACUGCGUCCGAUACUGGAUGGCUUGGAUUUGGGAGAGGGAUGCGGAAUUCCAGGUGUAGCGGUGAAAUGCGCAGAUAUCAGGAGGAACACCGGUGGCGAAGGCGGGACUCUGGGCCGAUACUGACGCUGAGGAGCGAAAGCGUGGGGAGCGAACAGG